AACGUAGGAGGCGAGCGUUAUCCGGAUUUACUGGGUGUAAAGCGCGUGCAGGCGGUUUGAUAAGUUGGGUGUGAAAGCUCCUGGCUCAACUGGGAGAGGUCGCUCAAGACUGUCAGACUAGAGGAUGGUAGGGGAAGGUGGAAUUCCGGGUGUAGUGGUGAAAUGCGUAGAUAUCCGGAGGAACACCAGUGGCGAAAGCGGCCUUCUGGACCAUGACUGACGCUCAGACGCGAAAGCUAGGGGAG
rnacentral:rRNA from 1 species